rnacentral:rRNA from 1 species
UACGGAGGGUGCAAGCGUUAUCCGGAUUCACUGGGUUUAAAGGGUGCGUAGGUGGGAAUGUAAGUCAGUGGUGAAAUCUCCGUGCUUAACAUGGAACGGUCAAGUGAUACUGUCGUGCUAGAGUACAGAAGGGGCAACUGGAAUUCUCGGUGUAGCGGUGAAAUGCGUAGAUAUCGAGAGGAACACCUGCGGCGAAGGCGGGUUGCUGGGCUGAUACUGACGCUGAGGCGCGAAAGCCAGGGGAGCGAACGGG